rnacentral:lncRNA from 1 species
AUGGCCAAGUCUAAGAACCACACCACACACAACCAGUUCUACUAAAAUGGCAUCAAGAAACCCCGGUUACAAAGACACGAAUCUCUUAAGGGGGUUGACCCCAAGUUCCUGAGGAACAUGCGCUUUGCCAAGAAGCACAACAAGAAAGACCUGAAGAAGACGCAGGCCAGCAAUGCAAAGGCAGUGAGUGCACGUGCAGAGGCCAUCAAGGCCCUGGUGAAGCCUCAGGCCACCAAGCCCAUGAUGCCAAAGGGCCCCAGCCGCAGAGUCAGCCACCUGGCUUUCAUCGCUCACUCCAAGCUUGGGAAGCAGAUUCGAAGCUACAUGGCCAAUGGUCGUAGACUCUGCCAACCAAAGGCCAAGGUCCAAACCAAGGCGGAGACCGCAGCUCCAGCUAAGGCCCAGGCUUCAGCUCCAGCUCAGGCUCCCAAAGGUGCCCAGGUCCCUGUGAAGGCCCCAUAG